CGAGUUUUGGACAUCACAUCGGGGUUCUGUAGGCAUUUCCAUAUACCUUUUACUUGAUUUAUUAUAAUUUCCUAGAAUAAAGGACUAAUAGAGUGGUGGUUUUUGUCAUCCACAAAAUCAUCAACAAUAAGAACUCCCGGAAUGAAUCGGUCAAAUAUCAUCUUUCAAGCAGGACACGCAGUUCAAACUUCAAAGUCCUUGUUCCAAGAAACUCUAUGAUCAUACAUUUAGACAACAAACAUAUUUGUUCGCUUUAUAUGCACCGCAUACAGUUGUAAAAUCAAUGAUUUUUAAUUUUUCACGGGAAUAAUUACAAAAUUCAAAAGUAUUCUUAGCUCUUAAAGCUUCAUGCUGCAAACUAACUAAUCCUAUGAUGUAUGAUCCACCAUCGUGGACGACAAUUUCUGUGCUACCCUAUUGUGGAUCCACCGUUAAGGAGUUUAUACAUGUAUGAUAGCAGCAAUCACUAGAUUCUUCCUUUUGUGGCUUUUGAUUCCAUUAAGGAAACUGGUAAUUGUAGUUCAAAGUUCAAACUACUCUUCUUCAGGGAUGCUAUGAAGCACACCAUCAUAUCCACCAUUAGAGGACACGACACUAACACGAUUAACAGGAAGUUGGACAAGUUCAUGUGCGACAUCUUUGAAUUCAAGAAGCCCCCCUUCUUUGCACUUGGCCAUUAAUCGAGCUGCUUCUUGUUUUGUCAUCCUAACUUUCACUCUGAUCACAUCUUUUUCUUGCACACUGCUGGCAUACCCUCUCUUCUCAAAAUUCUUCCUCGCAUCUUCUUCUUUAAUUGCCAAGCAA
rnacentral:lncRNA from 1 species